UAGCCGCACCCCAAGUGGUAUCCAGUAUUAUUGGGCUUAAAGUGUUCGUAGCCGGCUGUGUAAGUCUGCUGUGAAAUCCACGCGCUCAACGUGUGGACAUGCAGCAGAUACUGCAUAGCUAGGGGCCGGACGGCGUUGAGGCUAUUCCAGGGGGAGGAGUGAAAUCCUAAAAUCCCUGGAGGAGCGCCAGUGGCGAAAGCGCUCAACGAGAACGGACCCGACGGUGAGGAACGAAAGCUAGUGGAGCAAA
rnacentral:rRNA from 1 species